rnacentral:tRNA from 1 species
GGAGCCGGUUCUCGGCUGGUGCCGGGCGCGGUCUUCAAAACCGUCGUGGGGCGUGAAGAGCGUCCCGGGUGCGUUCGAUUCGCACACGGCUCCGCCA